AAACGGCGGAACUCAUCGAAGUCUGCAGUCAGUCCUAUACAAUGCGAGCUCUGCUCUGCCGGCGACUCUCUCGAUCUCUCUACGAAGCCGCGGCUUCAUCAUCAUCAUCUUCUUUUUCUUCUUCUUCUUCAUCAUCAUGUUUUCGUCGGCUCGGAUUCAGAACUCUAAGCUCACUCACAUCGUCGUCAAACCACACGCCUCUCUCUCGAACCCUACUCGCAUCAUCCCCGUGGUCCGCCACUCAACUGCGCGGCGCCAAGUUUCUCGGCUCCGAUGUCAGACCUGGAAAUUGCAUCAGAAGAAAAGGACGCAUAUACCAGGUUUUAAAAGCACAACACACACAGCAUGGAAGAGGAGGAGCAACAAUACAGGUGGAGCUUCGUGAUAUUGAUAGUGGAAGCAAAGUAAAUGAAAAGUUUCGUACUGAUGAGACUAUUGAAAGUGUAUUUGUUGAGGAAAAAUCUUUCUUAUAUUUGUAUACUGAUGAUGACAACAUAGUGCUGAUGGAGCCUGGCACAUUUUCACAAAUGGAAGUCUCAAAGGACUUGUUUGGCAAAGCUGCUGCAUAUCUAAAAGAUGACAUGAAAGUUACACUGCAUUUAUGUGAUGGAAAGCCAACAUCUGCAUCAGUUCCAAAACGCGUGACAUGCACUGUUGUGGAAGCACAAGUGCCUGUGAAAGGGAGUACAGCCACACCUCAGUAUAAAAGGGUUUCGCUGGACAAUGGCCUUACAGUGUUGGCACCACCUUUUGUCCUUGCUGGUGACUCAAUAGUAAUUGAUACUACUGAUGACUCUUACAUCACCAGGGCAUAGGAUGAAUAUUUGCAUCCUGCUUCGUGUUGAGCAUCCUUGCCAGUAUCUUUGGAUGGACAGGCCAUUUGAAUCCUGGAAUGUGAAGAAACCAUGUGAUCUGAUGAUGCUUGAGUCUCUUGGGAGUUGGAUGACACAACUCUAAUAACAUCAACACUAAAUAACUCAUUAUCUUGAAGCCAACAAAGAUAAGGAAGAGGAGGGGAUCUUCUUUCUCCGCAAUCCAUUCAUCAUCCGAAUCAAUCUCCUCUACCAAAAUCAGAUCAACAUUUUGUUUCCUUUGUAGACUUCGCUCUCUCAAUCUAGUGUUGUACCUUACAUACACUAGAGCAUUCAACCUUUGAUGUUCAAAUCUAUUUCUUUUUU